CAAUGAGCAGGAUUUGUGCUUUUCUCCCUGGGAUGAACUGAGAGCAGAAAUACCAGGACAGGCCCUGCCCAGGAGGUGUUUUGGCAGAGUCCACUGCUUGGGGAUGUUGUUGGAAAGGGAUAAAUGGUUUUUCACAGAGUAAUUUAGGUUGGAAAAGCCCUCCAAGAUCAAGUCCAACUAUUCCCUCAGCACUCCCCAGUCCAGCACCAGCCCAUGUCUUUGAGUGCCCCAUCCAUUCAGCUUUUAAAUUCUUCCAGGGACAGUGUCUCCACCACUUCCCAUGGAACAGAGGACUCUGGAGUGAGAAAUCACUUCCUACAGGAUGCCAAGAGGUUGCCUGAGCUGCAGGAGAGACUGGACAAAAUCAUGGGCCAGCGCUGAUGGAAGAGCAGGCAAGGACACCAUAGAGCUCCAUGCUGCCUGAAGAAGAGCCUGCCUUGGCCCCAGGGCAAGGGAAGGAGCUUGGUUCUUGCAUUUUCCCACAAGGACAACCUGGGAGAUGAACAAACCUGGUGCUGGACAUGCUCCCUCUGCAAAGCCACCUGCAGUGAGCUGGGAAGUGCUCAGCACACAGAGCCUGUCUUUGGCUCCCAGGGAGUUCAAUUUGACUCUGGGUUAACUGCAGUUCCCUUGCAAAGCUGUCUGUCACCUCUCAGCCUCUUCCUUGCUCACUCGAGAAAAUAACAGCUCCCACACUCUGAAAAAUCCCACAUAAUUGGUACAGCCUCCACAGAGUGCCUCUCAGCCAGCAGCAGGACCAUUUGGAGCUCGAAAGGUGGCCCUGUCUUUUCAGAAGGGUCAUGGGUUGACAACCUUGUUUAUUUUCCUCCGUGUCUGUCCAAGGAAAAAAAACACAAACCAACCAAAAAACACCAGCCCAGCUCCUCCAAGUCGAGCCUGGCAGCACCAAUUUGGGGCACAGCUGGAGGAAGGGGACAGGUUUCCAUCCCACUGAGGCUGUGUAAAAGCCUCAGACUUAGCCUUGACCAUCUGGUGAUCUACCAGUACUCAGCUUUCCUUUUUUUGCCCCACACCUUGGUAGGAUGAAGGAUUCUGACACUGAAGCGCAGAGAUCUGGAAAAUGUGGAGCCAGUUCCAGUCAUGCUGCACAUCCUCGGCCCUUUCCCAACCCCAUUUGAGCACAGAGAGCUGCCACAUCAUCAAUUUGGUGUGGAUUUGGGUAUCCUGAGCACCAAACCCCAUUUGUUUUGCUGUUUCACCCCCUGGCUUGGCCAGGUCCUCAUCAGCAUCUCUCCCUCACACAACAGAUAAAUAGCAAUACCCAGAGCCACACACACACUUACAAAUAAAUAGAAAAGGAGCAUCAAUUCAGCCAUGAAUACAAAGCUUAAGGAUACUGCAUCUCAUUCCUGUUUGCUGCCUCGGGCACUGCAAGCUGACAAUCAAAAUUCACCCAGUGCCAAAAAUAUUAGUUUAGUUGAAUAUUUGUGUUUGCUCAGCUCCUUCUCGUGCCGGGAUGACAAACUGCCCUGAGAAGGCAUUGCCAGAGGCACUCACACUCCCAUUCUCUCUCUCACUGAUUCUGGCACACAGAGGGAUCCUUUCAAACCAAUAAACACUUUCAUUUUUGUCUUGGCUGAAAGGGCUUCCUCUGUGGGGUGAUGUUUUGCUGGAGGAAAUGAUUUAGGAGCAGAGAUACGGUUGUGAUUCAAUAUGGUUGUGAUUCAAUAUCGUGCUCAGGAAUUCCUUGUAAAGUCAAGGGAGAGACAAAUUCUGACAUUACCCGAGCCUCGUUGAGCUUAUCAGAGUAUUUUUGGAGUGAGAAUCCAGCAACAAAGACGGCGACACUUUGUUAUGUGGUGUCUGGUAGCUCUUGUUCUCAGGUGGAACAGCAGCAACACCACCUCUCUCGUGUAAGUUACGUCCUGACACGUGUGAGAACAUGCAGAGGGAAGGGAAGAAGAGAAAAGAAGGAGAGGGAGCUUUUCCAAGCUCUAUGUUGGGGCUGGAUAAAGAGGAUGGAGCUCAGAUCAGCAGCAGUGUCAGAGCUGGUCCCUCCCAGCCUUCCCACCUGGGAUGCACCAACCCUUGACUCAGAAUCACAAGCUGAUCCAGCAGGAGGGAAGUCAGACCAACCAUGAGGGACAGGUUUCCUCUUUGCUUUCCCUCCUCACCACCUUCUCAUUGCUGGAAGGAUGCCCUGAGCUCGUCAGGGAACCAUGGCACAGAUUGGGUUGGAAAGGGCCUUUAAGAUCACCCAGCUCCAGCCCCCUGCUGUGGGCAGGGAACACCUCCUGCCACCCCAGGUUUCUCCUAGCCUGGCUCUGAUGUACACCAGAAACUCAGAUAAAGCACAAAGCCCUACAGAAACACGUCUGUGGGCUGGAGCUCAGCAGUCUGACCCACCUGCCUGGAGGGGAUGGGCUCACAUCCCCCUCCUGUUGCCCUGGGGACACCCCAGUUCCCCCAAAGCCCAGCCUGGGGAGCAGCUCCCUCCCACGGAGAGCAGCCUUCUUUCUGGCCUCAGGAGGUGUUUGUUGAGGAGCUGUAGAGAAGAACAAUGCUGCUGUCUCCUCAUCAAGGUGGGCUGUGGCAAGGCAGAGUCCUGCUUUCACUCCAGCACUACCCUGAAACACAAAGCUUUGUAUUUGCCUGUCAAUAUCCCAGUUGGAUUCUGCUUCUCUGUAUUUAAUUCGAGAUGAGUACUGCAGGACCUCUUUUGUUAGCUGGAUACCUCAUGCACAUUGUUAUUAUUUCUUUCAUAAAAAUCAAUAAAGACUUAAGAACAACAACCACCAAUAAUAACAGUACAUCUCUCUUGGUGUCUUUGUGUUGCAACUUGCUGAAUAACUCGGAAAAGCAGCAGACAACAGUCAGGAGAGAAGAUUAAAAAAGAUGUUGUUCCCAAACUGGACCUGCUCUUCCUUUGGAAAAAGUUUCCAGCCACUUAAAACUGCAGCACCAUCUCAGCACACAAGAAUUCAGCAGCAGAGGCUCCGGGUGGGAAGAAAUGCUCAGAGGAUGAGGCACCAGACAGAGCUCCUCUGAUCUGGUGUCCUGCUUGUCCUGCCUGUG